rnacentral:rRNA from 1 species
GUGGGGAAUAUUGGACAAUGGGCGCAAGCCUGAUCCAGCAAUGCCGCGUGGGUGAAGAAGGUCUUCGGAUCGUAAAGCCCUUUCGACAGGGACGAUGAUGACGGUACCUGUAGAAGAAGCCCCGGCUAACUUCGUGCCAGCAGCCGCGGUAAUACGAAGGGGGCUAGCGUUACUCGGAAUUACUGGGCGUAAAGGGCGCGUAGGCGGCUCUGUUAGUCAGGCGUGAAAUUCCUGGGCUUAACCUGGGGACUGCGCUUGAGACUGCAGGGCUUGAGGCCGAGAGAGGGUGGUGGAAUUCCCAGUGUAGAGGUGAAAUUCGUAGAUAUUGGGAAGAACACCGGUGGCGAAGGCGACCACCUGGCUCGGUUCUGACGCUGAGGCGCGACAGCGUGGGGAGCAAACAGGAUUAGAAACCCGGGUAGUCC